rnacentral:rRNA from 1 species
UACGGAGGGUGCAAGCGUUAUCCGGAUUCACUGGGUUUAAAGGGUGCGUAGGUGGGUAGGUAAGUCAGCGGUGAAAUCCCCGAGCUUAACUUGGGAACUGCCAUUGAUACUAUCUGUCUUGAAUAUUGUGGAGGUGAGCGGAAUAUGUCAUGUAGCGGUGAAAUGCUUAGAUAUGACAUAGAACACCGAUAGCGAAGGCAGCUUGCUACACGAGUAUUGACACUGAGGCACGAAAGCGUGGGGAUCAAACAGG